AGUGUCCAGGGAUGGAAAUCGAACCCACAAUGUUCCGCUUACUGGGCAGAUGCCAUGUCCACUAGGCUGAUGAAAUGACGC
rnacentral:tRNA from 1 species